UUGGUAAAUAAAGUUUCAUUUUUUCAUACCUGCAGUCAAAAAAGUUUAGAUAGACAAAAACAAUGCUGUUCAAUAUACAUUUUCCUUUAAUUAAAUAUUAUGCAUUGUUCAUUACACUAUUACGAAAAUAUUUCAUUUAAUUAUAAUUAUUUGUCAAACAAACAUUUUAAUUAAUUGAAAAAUAUCAAUAUUAUUAUUUGUGACAUUCAGAUUCAAACUCAAAAUUCCGCAAUUGUUUGCAUAAAUUUAGUGCACAAAAUAAUAAAAAAAAAAUCUCUUUAAAAUGCCGUUAUAAAUUUGGAGAUAAAUUAGUUUUUAAUAAAAGUACACUUAUUUUCUUAAAAAAAAAAAAAAAAGUACACUUAUUUCUUUGCUAAUUUGCUUGGUGAUGUGCGCUCUGGCAUGGUAAAAGGGAGAACACAAACAAAAACGAGAAAAGCAACAUGCAUGCACUGGUCCACUCCACAGUCAGGGUGGACUGAAGACAGAUCCUGAACCUGCAUAAUUGAGAAAGAAAAAACGAAUGUUUUAAUUUUAAAAAUCUGAACACCUUUGGCAGCAGAUCCUUCAAUCACUAAUAUAAAUAAAAAAUUACUUUAUUCAUUUAAUAAUGUAUGUAAUCUAUAAUAAAGAUUAUGUGCAUCAUUAAACAAAUUAAUUAUUAGCAAUUAAUCGAUCUCUAACUAAAGGAGGAAAAUAUUAUUAGAGUUAUGUAACUCAUGAUCUAAUCGAACUCUAACUCAAAUCAACAAAUUGAGUUACAUAACUCCAAUUAUAUUUAACAAAUUGCUUUCGUUUUUCUUGUCUCCCUUUUCCUUUUGGCUUUUCCUUUUGUUUCCUCCUUUUGACUACUCAUGCAGACUUAUAGUUACUACUGCUAGCAUAUUAGUUCAGCUACCUUAUAUCAGAGUUACACUAGUUUUUAAGAGAGUGGUUUACUACUAAAUAUAUUAGCUCACCUAUACCCUACAAUUUCUGAAAAUCCGGUUGCCAAAUAAUUUAUUUAGCUAGAUGAAUGAAUUGAAAAACUAUCAACACACCACUUAGAUAAAAACAAUUUUUUUUAAAAUUAUUCUAUUGAUUAAAAAUUCAUUUUUUUAAGGUGAAGAAGAGCGAUGUUUAAAGUUCAAAUCUCAACC
rnacentral:lncRNA from 1 species